GUUGUACUCCCUUCGUUUCAAAAUUAUUGUCUUAAAUUUGUCUACAUAUGAAUAAAUCUAGUUAUAUUUUAAUAUUUACGUACAUUCAUUUCUAGACAAACCUAAGACAAAAAAUUUAGGACGGAGGGAAUACGAA
rnacentral:pre_miRNA from 1 species